rnacentral:rRNA from 1 species
AGCUAACUGAAAUCCUUCAAUACCAUCCUGUUGGAGGUAGAGCGGGAUAACGUAAGGGAAAAAAAAUGAUAUCACCUUACUAUUAGUGUUGUCCAAAAAUUGGUGCCAGAAGACUCGGUAAGACCAGAAACGCGAACGUUAGUCAUCUUAAACAGGCGUAAAGGGUCUGUAGGCUUCUNGAAAACAUUGUUUUUUCUAAUAGCUUGUUGUUUUACAAUUUUAAACAAUAACGUCUUUAAAUAAAAUUAUUUAAUUAACUUUAUNCAAAAGAAAGGAUAUAAUAAUAUAUAACCUUAAUAAAAAAUUUAUUUCNAUUUGGUUNNGGGUUUNANUGGUCUCUUAUGUNUNAUAGAGAUUAAGUCGNUUUUANUUAGGUAUAAAANAAGAGAAUNCUAUGAAUAUAAAAUUGGAUAAAUGGUUUUAGAGGUAAAUUAGCUUAUAAAACGUAUUAACAAAUAUAAAACUUCAAUUAUUGAUAACAUAAAAAAAUAAUGUGAGUAAAAGAUUGAAUCUUACCGAGGAAAAAAGAAUAUUUAGAGUAGGGUUAACAUCCGCNNAAACUAAAUAGAAUUCUAAAGGUGAAGACUUUUUUUCCAUUAAUGAUUGACGCUCAGAAACGAAAGUGGGAAUAGGAAAUAGGAUUAGAUACCCAGGUACCUCCCACUGUAAACGAUGAAUGGUAGUUGUUAGUUAAAUAAUUGAUGACGAUGUUAACGCGUGAACCAUUCCGCCUUGAUACUACAACCGCAAGGUCGAAACCCAAAAAAUUAGUCGGUCUCGNAGC